rnacentral:sRNA from 1 species
AGAUGAGGUGCUGAGCAGAGGAUGAACAUAGCCUUGGUCUGAUCCCUUUAUGAGUCAGAUGGUUUUCUUCCUGUGAGGAUUGUGCUCAUGGAUGAUGCCAUGGACUGCUUGAUGUCUUUUUCAGAUUUCCUCUUUGCCUUCCAGAUCCAGUUUUACUACUCAGAAUUCCUGGACAGUGUGGCUGCCAUCUAUGAGAACCUGCUGUCAGGCAAGAACCCCAACACAGUGAUUGUGCCGACGUCGUCCAGUGGGCAGCACCGCCAACGACCUGCCUUGGGCGAGGCCGGCAUGCUGGAGGGCGUGGAGGCAUCGCUGUUCUACCAGUGUCUGGAAAACCUGUGUGAUCGGCACAAGUACAGCUGCCCACCCCCAGCACUUGUCAAAGAGGCUCUUAGCAAUGUUCAGAGACUGACCUUCUAUGGAUUCCUCAUGGCUCUCUCAAAGCACCAUGGAAUCAACCAAGCCCUCGGUAAGUCAGAGCUAGCAGCCAUCAGCCUCUCCUGCCGCACAACACAGGGAGCAGCU